CCGCUAGGCGGCUACCCAACUCCUUAUUAACCACGCGCAUAUACUUCAACCAGCCAAAGGUGCUCCCUCCGCCACUAGGGAUUCUCGUUGUUUAUCUUCCUGGAUCAUGAUGACAGAUAGAUGAGGCGCGGUGGUCUUCUCCUAUAUACAGGUUCUCUCGCGAUUUUGAUCCCGCACAGGAGCAGAUCAUCACACCGCAUCAAUGUCGCCAGGACCCCUGCCUCGCGGGUGCGACGCCGGGCCGGGCCUCGAUAAGAUGAACAACGCGCACAUCGGGAGGGUGUUGCUCUCAAAAGCCUAGAUGCCACCAACCUCGUCCAUCUCUACGACUCCCGUGUCCCUGCCCUGUGAUGUCUGGAAGAGCAACACCCGAGAGGAGAGGAGAAUCAGAAGAAAUUGGCGGUGGUGCUUGGACAGGGCUAUCAGUAUGACAUGGAUGCUGUCAACUUCUAUGCUCUGUUGAAUUUAGUAACUGGUGGCUUUAUGGUCUACAUUCUUAUUUGAAAUUGUUGGUUCAAGCUUGCUAGAUUGUCUGAUGAUAUGUUAGAUUAUAACAGAUAUAAGGAGCAACAAUAAACAAAAGUAAGAAGACACACGUAUCCAAAUUCUGCAAGUUUUGC